GCCAACGGCCAUACCACGCUGAACGCACCGGGUCUCGUCGGCUCCCCGAAGUCUAAGCAGCGUCGGGUCUCGUUAGUACCUGGAUGGGUGACCGCUUGGGAAUACGAGAUGCUGUUGGCA